rnacentral:rRNA from 1 species
GUGAGGAAUAUUGGACAAUGGGCACAAGCCUGAUCCAGCCAUGCCGCGUGCAGGAAGACGCAUCUAUGGUGUGUAAACUGCUUUUGUACGGGAAGAAACACUCCCUCGUGAGGGAGCUUGACGGUACCGUAAGAAUAAGGAUCGGCUAACUCCGUGCCAGCAGCCGCGGUAAUACGGAGGAUCCAAGCGUUAUCCGGAAUCAUUGGGUUUAAAGGGUCCGUAGGCGGUUUAAUAAGUCAGUGGUGAAAGCCCAUCGCUCAACGAUGGAACGGCCAUUGAUACUGUUAGACUUGAAUUACAAGGAAGUAACUAGAAUAUGUAGUGUAGCGGUGAAAUGCUUAGAUAUUACAUGGAAUACCAAUUGCGAAGGCAGGUUACUACUUGUGGAUUGACGCUGAUGGACGAAAGCGUGGGGAGCGAACAGGAUUAGAAACCCUGGUAGUCC